UACGGGGGGGGCAAGCGUUGUUCGGAAUUACUGGGCGUAAAGGGCUCGUAGGUGGCCAACUAAGUCAGACGUGAAAUCCCUCGGCUUAACCGGGGAACUGCAUCUGAUACUGGAUGGCUUGAGUUUGGGAGAGGGAUGCGGAAUUCCAGGUGUAGCGGUGAAAUGCGUAGAUAUCUGGAGGAACACCGGUGGCGAAGGCGGCAUCCUGGACCGACACUGACGCUGAGGAGCGAAAGCCAGGGGAGCAAACGGG
rnacentral:rRNA from 1 species